rnacentral:piRNA from 1 species
AUUUGCGUGUACUGUUGCUGCUGAUCGUUUGGU